CUCGGGCCCGAACUGUUACAGUCCUCCGUUCGUCAUGGCCCGGACCUGACCGAGGAGCUUGCGGUGCAUGCCGUUCGGCUAGGGUCCCGUCUUCCCGGUCGGUCGUCGAAUGCGGUGGACUGCGUGCAGUGCGCCGCGACUGCUGCCGGUCGCGAGGNCGGUGAUUUCGUACUAUGCACCCACGACGUUGGCGGUCAUAUGGCCUCAUCCGACCCGUCUUGAAACACGGACCAAGGAGUCUAACAUGUGUGCGAGUCUUUGAGUGAUCGAAACUCCGAGGCGUAAUGAAAGUGAAGGCGACUUCGGUCGCUGAGGUGAGAGCCUUUUUCCACAAAAAAAAGGCGCAUCAUCGACCGACCUAUUCUACUCUUAGAAAGGUUUGAGUAAGAGCGCAUCUGUUGGGACCCGAAAGAUGGUGAACUAUGCCUGAAUAGGGUGAAGCCAGAGGAAACUCUGGUGGAGGCUCGUAGCGAUUCUGACGUGCAAAUCGAUCGUCAAAUUUGGGUAUAGGGGCGAAAGACUAAUCGAACUGUCUAGUAGCUGGUUCCCUCCGAAGUUUCCCUCAGGAUAGCUGGAACUUACGGCAGUUUUAUCAGGUAAAGCGAAUGAUUAGAGGUCUUAGGGUUAAAACAACCUUAACCUAUUCUCAAACUUUAAAUUGGUAAGAAGUCCGACUUGCUUAAUUGAAGCCGGACAGUGAAUGCGAGUUCCUAGUGGGCCAUUUUUGGUAAGCAGAACUGGCGAUGCGGGAUGAACCGAACGCGCGGUUAAGGUGCCAAAGUCGACGCUCAUCAGACCCCACAAAAGGUGUUGGUUGCUCUAGACAGCAGGACGGUGGCCAUGGAAGUUGGAAUCCGCUAAGGAGUGUGUAACAACUCACCUGCCGAAGCAACUAGCCCUGAAAAUGGAUGGCGCUCAAGCGUCGCACCUAUACCGUGCCGUCGGAGCAGAUGCGAAGCUCCGACGAGUAGGAGGGCGUGGGGGUCGUGACGCAGCCUCUGGCGCGAG
rnacentral:ncRNA from 1 species